GCCCCAUUUCACCUACAUGGAAUGGCGGACAUUUUUACAGUUUUGACAGUGCAACAGAUGCUUAACUGAGCCAGCUUUCAUAUUUAGUACAAUCAUGCAUAUAACAAGCAUUAUCACCUCAUAUUAUUCAUAGAAAUACACUUAAAAUACAUAAAUGCAUGUUUUUUUUCUUCAUUGUAUAUCUAUUUCUAUUGGGUAUUUUGACUUUUUCAGGUAGAGGAAUGUCUGCAACUAAGCCGAGGGCCACUGGAUAAGGGUUGUUGAUGGUAAAACAGGUAGAGGAAUGUCUGCAACUAAGCCGAGGGCCACUGGAUAAGGGUUGUUGAUGGUAAAACAGGUAGAGGAAUGUCUGCAACUAAGCCGAGGGCCACUGGAUAAGGGUUGUUGAUGGUAAAACAGGUAGAGGAAUGUCUGCAACUAAGCCGAGGGCCACUGGAUAAGGGUUGUUGAUGGUAAAACAGGUAGAGGAAUGUCUGCAACUAAGCCGAGGGCCACUGGAUAAGGGUUGUUGAUGGUAAAACAGGUAGAGGAAUGUCUGCAACUAAGCCGAGGGCCACUGGAUAAGGGUUGUUGAUGGUAAAACAGGUAGAGGAAUGUCUGCAACUAAGCCGAGGGCCACUGGAUAAGGGUUGUUGAUGGUAAAACAGAUUGGAGACUACAUAAGACUUUGACAGAUGGCGG